rfam:Actinobacteria bacterium OK074 ctg12, whole genome shotgun sequence.
GGCCAAGUUUUUAAGGGCGCACGGUGGAUGCCUUGGCACCAGGAACCGAUGAAGGACGUGGGAGGCCACGAUAGGCCCCGGGGAGUCGUCAACCAGGCUUUGAUCCGGGGGUGUCCGAAUGGGGAAACCCGGCAGUCGUCAUGGGCUGUCACCCAUACCUGAACACAUAGGGUAUGUGGAGGGAACGCGGGGAAGUGAAACAUCUCAGUACCCGCAGGAAGAGAAAACAACCGUGAUUCCGGGAGUAGUGGCGAGCGAAACCGGAUGAGGCCAAACCGUAUGCGUGUGAGACCCGGCAGGGGUUGCGUAUACGGGGUUGUGGGAUCUCUCUUUCAUGGUCUGCCGGCCAUGAGACGAGUCAGAAACCGUUGAUGUAGGCGAAGGACAUGCGAAAGGUCCGGCGUAGAGGGUAAGACCCCCGUAGUCGAAACAUCAGCGGCUCGUUUGAGAGACACCCAAGUAGCACGGGGCCCGAGAAAUCCCGUGUGAAUCUGGCGGGACCACCCGUUAAGCCUAAAUAUUCCCUGGUGACCGAUAGCGGAUAGUACCGUGAGGGAAUGGUGAAAAGUACCGCGGGAGCGGAGUGAAAUAGUACCUGAAACCGUGUGCCUACAAGCCGUGGGAGCGUCGGAUGCGUGUUUACACGCAUCUCGUGACUGCGUGCCUUUUGAAGAAUGAGCCUGCGAGUUUGCGGUGCGUUGCGAGGUUAACCCGUUGUGGGGUAGCCGUAGCGAAAGCGAGUCCGAACAGGGCGUUUGAGUAGCGCGCUCAAGACCCGAAGCGGAGUGAUCUAGCCAUGGGCAGGUUGAAGCGGCUGUAAGAGGUCGUGGAGGACCGAACCCACCAGGGUUGAAAACCUGGGGGAUGACCUGUGGUUAGGGGUGAAAGGCCAAUCAAACUCCGUGAUAGCUGGUUCUCCCCGAAAUGCAUUUAGGUGCAGCGUCGUGUGUUUCUUGCCGGAGGUAGAGCACUGGAUAGGCGAUGGGCCCUACCGGGUUACUGACCUUAGCCAAACUCCGAAUGCCGGUAAGUGAGAGCGCGGCAGUGAGACUGUGGGGGAUAAGCUCCAUGGUCGAGAGGGAAACAGCCCAGAGCAUCGACUAAGGCCCCUAAGCGUAUGCUAAGUGGGAAAGGAUGUGGAGUCGCAGAGACAACCAGGAGGUUGGCUUAGAAGCAGCCACCCUUGAAAGAGUGCGUAAUAGCUCACUGGUCUAGUGAUUCCGCGCCGACAAUGUAGCGGGGCUCAAGUAUACCGCCGAAGUCGUGUCAUUCCAGCGUAUAGCCCUAACGGGUGUUGGGAUGGGUAGGGGAGCGUCGUGUGCCGGGUGAAGCAGCCCUGUAAGGGAGUUGUGGACGGUUCACGAGUGAGAAUGCAGGCAUGAGUAGCGAUUCACACGUGGGAAACGUGUGCGCCGAUUGACUAAGGGUUCCUGGGUCAAGCUGAUCUGCCCAGGGUAAGUCGGGACCUAAGGCGAGGCCGACAGGCGUAGUCGAUGGAUAACCGGUUGAUAUUCCGGUACCCGCUGUGAAGCGUCAAACAUUGAACCAGGCGAUGCUAAGUCCGUGAAGCCGUCCCGGAGCCUUCGGGCAAGGGGAAGUGGUGGAGCCGACGGUCCAGACCUGUAGUAGGUGAGUGAUGGGGUGACGCAGGAAGGUAGUCCAUCCCGGGCGGUGGUUGUCCCGGGGUAAGGGUGUAGGCCGUGCGAUAGGUAAAUCCGUCGUACACGAGGCUGAGACCUGAUGCCGAGCCGAUUGUGGUGAAGUGGAUGAUCCUAUGCUGUCGAGAAAAGCCUCUAGCGAGUUUUAUGGCGGCCCGUACCCUAAACCGACUCAGGUGGUCUGGUAGAGAAUACCGAGGCGUUCGGGUGAACUAUGGUUAAGGAACUCGGCAAAAUGCCCCCGUAACUUCGGGAGAAGGGGGGCCAUCACCGGUGAGAGGACUUGCUCCUUGAGCUGGGGGUGGCCGCAGAGACCAGCGAGAAGCGACUGUUUACUAAAAACACAGGUCCGUGCGAAGCCGUAAGGCGAUGUAUACGGACUGACGCCUGCCCGGUGCUGGAACGUUAAGGGGACCGGUUAGUCAUUCUUCGGGGUGGCGAAGCUGAGAACUUAAGCGCCAGUAAACGGCGGUGGUAACUAUAACCAUCCUAAGGUAGCGAAAUUCCUUGUCGGGUAAGUUCCGACCUGCACGAAUGGCGUAACGACUUCUCGACUGUCUCAACCAUAGGCCCGGUGAAAUUGCACUACGAGUAAAGAUGCUCGUUUCGCGCAGCAGGACGGAAAGACCCCGGGACCUUUACUACAGUUUGAUAUUGGUGUUCGGUUCGGCUUGUGUAGGAUAGCUGGGAGACUGUGAAGCGGCCACGCCAGUGGUUGUGGAGUCGUUGUUGAAAUACCAGUCUGGUCGUGCUGGAUGUCUAACCCGCGCCCGUGAUCCGGGUGGGGGACAGUGUCUGAUGGGUAGUUUAACUGGGGCGGUUGCCUCCUAAAGGGUAACGGAGGCGCCCAAAGGUUCCCUCAGCCUGGUUGGUAAUCAGGUGGUGAGUGUAAGUGCACAAGGGAGCUUGACUGUGAGACCGACGGGUCGAGCAGGGACGAAAGUCGGGACUAGUGAUCCGGCGGUGGCUUGUGGAAGCGCCGUCGCUCAACGGAUAAAAGGUACCCCGGGGAUAACAGGCUGAUCUUCCCCAAGAGUCCAUAUCGACGGGAUGGUUUGGCACCUCGAUGUCGGCUCGUCGCAUCCUGGGGCUGGAGUCGGUCCCAAGGGUUGGGCUGUUCGCCCAUUAAAGCGGUACGCGAGCUGGGUUUAGAACGUCGUGAGACAGUUCGGUCCCUAUCCGCUGCGCGCGCAGGAAUAUUGAGAAGGGCUGUCCCUAGUACGAGAGGACCGGGACGGACGAACCUCUGGUGUGCCAGUUGUUCUGCCAAGGGCAUGGCUGGUUGGCUACGUUCGGGAGGGAUAACCGCUGAAAGCAUCUAAGCGGGAAGCCUGCUUCGAGAUGAGUAUUCCCACCCACUUGAUGGGGUAAGGCUCCCAGUAGACGACUGGGUUGAUAGGCCAGAUCUGGAAGCCCGGUAACGGGUGGAGGUGACUGGUACUAAUAGGCCGAGGGCUUGUCCUC